UAAAUACUCCCUCCGUCCGGAAAUACUUGUCAAAGUAAUGGACGUAUCUAGACGUAUUUAAGUGUUAGAUACAUCUAUUUUUAGUCAUUUUUAUGACAAGUAUUUUCGAACGGAGGGAGUAUAAG
rfam:Triticum aestivum genome assembly, contig: Triticum_aestivum_CS42_TGACv1_scaffold_030538_1BL